rnacentral:rRNA from 1 species
UCUGGUUGAUCCUGCCAGUUGUCAUAUGCUUGUUUCAAGGACUAAGCCAUGCAAAUGUCAGAGUACUCGGGGUUUCCUCGAGAGAUCUGUGUACGGCUCAUUAAAAGGUUUAUUAUCUCCCCAACGAAGGUGUGCAUUUGCCAGCCCAACGGGAUAACUUUGCUAACUGCAAAGCUAAUACCUGUCAGGCAAAGCUCACAUCAAUCCAACAAACGUGUUGAAUUCUUCUCACGUUUGUGGUGUGGGUUGCGCUUCGCCGAAACAAAGACUAACGCCUUUGUAAGGCAGUUGCAACUGUUGAGGCAGGCGAAUGUCGCGAAAGCGCUCUUUUGAGCGCGAUGUUGGACGAAUUUACCACCUAUCAGGUUGAAGGUAGUGUAGUGGACUACCUUGCCAAUGACGGGUAACGGAGAAUUGGGGUUCGAUUCCGGAGAGGGUGCUUGAGAAAUGGCAACCAUGACUACGGUCAGCAGCAGGCGCGCAAAUUGCCCAAUGCCAAUACUGGCGAGGCAGCGACGAAAAAUAAUAACUCUGAUGCACCUAUGUGUAUCGGAGAUUGCAAUGGACUGUACCUAGAAACACUGCUGAGUAUCCAUUGGAGGGCAAGUCUGGUGCCAGCAGCCGCGGUAAUUCCAGCUCCAAGAGCGUAUAUAAAUGUUGUUGCGGUUAAAAAGCCCGUAGUUGGAUUUGAGAUCUCCGUCUCUGAUUUCUGCUCCAGGUUCAUCCCUGGAAUCCAGAAUUCAAGAAAUGACGGUGGUCUGCUUGAUGCGGGAAUGACAUCUGCCGAUAGCCCUGUCACAAGGGUGUGUAGGCACUUUCGGAGCCAUGACGCUCCAAAGAUGCGCCCGCAGUCGUCACUGUGAGUAAAUCAGAGUGUUCAAGGCAACUCAAUUGUUGAGUUGAAUGUUCAAGCAUGGAAUGACAAGGGAUCGACCACUGAUGGCCUCUUUUUGUUGGUUUUUAACCUUCAGUGAGGCAAAUUUGCAAAAGAGACUUCUCCAAUUUCCUUUUGGAUUUUGAGAGAACUCUUUUGCGCACGGGAUCAAUAGGAGCACAGGGGGCCGUGAGUACUGGAGGGUGAGUGGUGAAAUACUGUGACCCCUUCAAGACUGACAUCAGCGAAAGCACUCGGCUAUUGUGCUUUCAUUAAUCAAGGACGAGAGAUAGGGGAUCGAAGAGGAUUAGACACCCUCGUAGUCCUUUCCUUAAAUUCUGCAGACUUGGGAUCGGUCAGUGUCAACCAUCGGCCUGAUCGGCACCUUCCUCCCUUACCGAGAAAUCAAAGUCUUUGUGUUCCGGGGGGAGUACAUUCGCAAGGCUGAAACUUAAAGGAAUUGACGGAGAACCACCACCAGUCGUGGAUUGUGUGGCCUAAUUCGACUCAACACGGGAAAUUUUACCAGCACAUGACAGGGUCAGGAUUGCCAAGCUAAAGCCUUUGCUUGAUUCCCUGAAGGGUGGUGCAUGGCCGCUUCUGGUUGGUGAAUGUGAUUUGUCUGCUUAAUUGCGAUAACGAACGAGAUCUCUGCCAAUCACUAGAGACCACUUUCGCUUGAAGUUUGCGUGUGGUUUCAGGCCUCGCGCUUUGAGUCACACGUGACCGAGAAGGUGGAUCUUUACUUAUUGGGAUUAUGCGGAAAAACCGCAUUGAAACAAGAGCCCAAAGCAGGUCUGUGAUGCUCCUAAAUGUGCUGGGCUGCACGCGCAAUACACUGACUUCGACAAAAAGCUUUUGCUUUGCACCUGGCCCGAAGGGGCUGGGGAAUCUUUGAGCCGAAGUCGUGAUGGGGAUUGAUGCUUGAAAUUAUUCUCCAUGAACGAGGAAUGUCUUGUAUCCGCGUUUCAUCGGAACGCAGAGAAUACGUCCCUGGUUCUUGUACACACCGCCCGUCGUUGCCUGUGAUGGAUUGUUGGUAGAGCCAUCUGGAGGUGUUCCGGGGUUCGCCUCGGCAUGCCGAAAUUUGGCAAUACUCCCAAUCUAGAAGAGGCAAAAGUCGUAACA